GGGCGAAUGGUUUAGGGGUAUAACGUUCGCUUCGCACUGCGCAUCACAGGAUGUGCAACGGCAUUGCGAAAGGUCCGGGGUUCGAUUCCCCGUUUGUCCA
rfam:Gaeumannomyces graminis var. tritici R3-111a-1 unplaced genomic scaffold supercont2.2, whole genome shotgun sequence.